UACGUAGGUGGCAAGCGUUGUCCGGAUUUACUGGGCGUAAAGGGCGUGCAGGCGGUCUGUUUAGUCUAGGGUGAAAGCUCCCGGCUCAACUGGGAGAGGUCCUUGGAUACUGGCAGACUUGAGGGAGGCAGAGGAAAGUGGAAUUCCCGGUGUAGUGGUGAUAUGCGUAGAUAUCGGGAGGAACACCAGUGGCGAAGGCGGCUUUCUGGGCCUUACCUGACGCUGAGACGCGAAAGCGUGGGGAGCGAACCGG
rnacentral:rRNA from 1 species